UACGUAGGUGGCGAGCGUUGUUCGGAUUUAUUGGGCGUAAAGGGUCCGCAGGGGGCCUGUUAAGUCUGAUGUGAAAUCCCGAAGCUCAACUUCGGAAUUGCAUUGGAAACUGGCGGGCUAGAGCAUCGGAGAGGAGAUUGGAAUUCCAGGUGUAGCGGUGGAAUGCGUAGAUAUCUGGAAGAACACCGAAGGCGAAGGCAGAUCUCUGGACGAUUGCUGACCCUCAGGGACGAAAGCGUGGGUAUCAAACAGG
rnacentral:rRNA from 1 species